AUAAUUUUCCUCUUUAGAGGUAUAUGUUAAGAAAGCAAUUUUGGUUCAGAAAAUCGGUUUUCAGGUCUUUGUCAUCGUUUCUUCCAAAUUAAAGCUUGUAGGAUUGAUGAUGUACAGGUCUUAACGUGAAGGUCCAUAAACUACAAAAAGUCAUCUGGGGAGAAUUAACGCAACACAACUGAGAAAAGUUAAAGAAACAACUAGUUCUCCAGCAGAAAGCAAGCCUUGGCAAGGCAUGUUGCAGUGGACAGGAUUGACAGCAAGUCUGCACUUCUACCCAAAGAACUACAGCAGCUUUGACAUCGACAGCGAGCUGCUUAAGUCGUAAUGAAGUCAAUGGCUGAGGAGCUGCGUGAUUCUCAAUGCCUGGCCAGAGAUAUCAGUUGGAAGGUUCCAUGGGCUCUACAGGAAGAGAAAGAAAAUCAUGAGUCUUGUUCAGCUGCCAAGCCUACAAACUCUAAUAGCAACUAUCUUGACAAAAAAACUGUCAAGUACUCAUGAUGAUAA
rnacentral:lncRNA from 1 species